AGACCGCGUUGGAUUUUUAAGUGUAAUGAUGCUGCUGUCUUUACUGUCAUCCCUUGUUUUCCUGGACCAUCCCACAAGCACAUUAGAAGUUCCAUAUGGAGUAGUGUACAUGUUUGGUACCUCUGGACUGAAUGUAGUGACGUCUAUCGCACUGAUGACUGAAUUGAUAUUAAAAUCAAUGACAGGAGAACGCCAUUUCGAUCUGCGAGUGAUUGUGUUCCUGACUGAAAGUAUUUUCGUCUUUUCUUGGAUGUCAUUGGCAGUGCUC